rnacentral:rRNA from 1 species
AACGAACGCUGGCGGCAUGCCUAACACAUGCAAGUCGAACGAGACCUUCGGGUCUAGUGGCGCACGGGUGCGUAACGCGUGGGAAUCUGCCCUUGGGUUCGGAAUAACAGUUAGAAAUGACUGCUAAUACCGGAUGAUGUCUUCGGACCAAAGAUUUAUCGCCCAGGGAUGAGCCCGCGUAGGAUUAGCUAGUUGGUGGGGUAAAGGCCUACCAAGGCGACGAUCCUUAGCUGGUCUGAGAGGAUGAUCAGCCACACUGGGACUGAGACACGGCCCAGACUCCUACGGGAGGCAGCAGUGGGGAAUAUUGGACAAUGGGCGAAAGCCUGAUCCAGCAAUGCCGCGUGAGUGAUGAAGGCCUUAGGGUUGUAAAGCUCUUUUACCCGGGAUGAUAAUGACAGUACCGGGAGAAUAAGCCCCCGGCUAACUCCGUGCCAGCAGCCGCGGUAAU